AGACAGCAGUAGCCGCGGUAAUACGAAGGGGGCUAGCGUUGCUCGGAAUUACUGGGCGUAAAGGGAGCGUAGGCGGAUCGUUAAGUUGGGGGUGAAAGCCCGGGGCUCAACCUCGGAAUUGCCUUCAAUACUGGCGAUCUUGAGUUCGAGAGAGGUAAGUGGAACUGCGAGUGUAGAGGUGAAAUUCGUAGAUAUUCGCAAGAACACCAGUGGCGAAGGCGGCUUACUGGCUCGAAACUGACGCUGAGGCGCGAAAGCGUGGGGAGCAAACAGGAUUAGAUACCCCCGUAGUCCCUGUCUCUUAUAC
rnacentral:rRNA from 1 species